UACGUAGGGGGCAAGCGUUGUCCGGAUUUAUUGGGCGUAAAGCGCACGUAGGUGGCGACGUAAGUCGGGUGUGAAAGCCCCGGGCUCAACCUGGGAAUUGCAUUCGAGACUGCAUUGCUGGAGUACGGAAGAGGAAGGCGGAAUUCCCGGUGUAGCGGUGAAAUUCGUAGAUAUCGGGAGGAACACCAGUGGCGAAGGCGGCGACCUGGACCGAUACUGACGCUGAGACACGAAAGCGUGGGGAGCAAACAGG
rnacentral:rRNA from 1 species